UACGAAGGGUGCUAGCGUUGUUCGGAAUCACUGGGCGUAAAGCGCGCGUAGGCGCUUAGCAAGUCAGGGGUGAAAUCCCACAGCUUAACUGUGGAACUGCCUUUGAAACUGCUAGCUAGAGUGUCGGAGGGGAUGGCGGAAUUCCUAAUGUAGAGGUGAAAUUCGUAGAUAUUAGGAGGAACACCGGUGGCGAAGGCGGCCAUCUGGACGACAACUGACGCUGAGGCGCGAAAGCGUGGGGAUCAAACAGGGAU
rnacentral:rRNA from 1 species